GUGAGUGCACACCCGGCGCGCGGCCGGGCUCCCGGAUGUGUCACCUUGUCCCGCUGCAGCCGAGAUGCUGGGGGAGCGGGGCCUUCCACAUCCCUCCGUGUGUGUGUGACUUGUGCAUCAUGGACAAUUUUGCUGAGGGAGAUUUCACUGUGGCAGAUUAUGCCUUGUUGGAAGACUGCCCUUAUAUGGACAAUUGUGUCUUUGCUGCUGAAUUUAUGACCGAUGAUUAUGUUCGUGUGACUCAGCUUUACUGUGAUGGGGUGGGUAUGCAAUAUAAAGAUUAUGCCCAAAGUGAGAGGAAUUUAGAAUUUGACAUCUGCAGUAUAUGGUGUAGUAAACCAAUUUCUGUCCUGCAAGAGUAUUGUGAUGCCAUUAAAAUAAACAUUUUCUGGCCACUUCUGUUUCAACAUCAAAACAGUUCCGUAAUAUCACGAUUGCAUCCCUGUGUGGACGCCAGCAAUUCACGUGCUUCCGAGAUAAAUUUGAAGAAAUUACAACAUCUUGAGUUGAUGGAAGAUAUUGUGGAUUUGGCAAAGAAAGUUGCUAAUGAUUCAUUCCUUAUUGGAGGCUUAUUGAGAAUUGGUUAUAAAAUAGAAAAUAAAGUAUUGGCAAUGGAAGAAGCUCUGAAUUGGAUAAAAUAUGCAGGCGAUGUAACAAUUCUAACUAAAUUAGGAUCAAUUGACAAUUGUUGGCCUAUGUUAAGUAUUUUCUUUACUGAAUACAAGUACCACAUAACUAAAAUUGUAGUGGAAGACUGCAAUUUGCUUGAAGAACUUAAAACCCAAAGUUGUAUGGAUUGUGUAGAGCAAGGAGAACUAAUGAAAAUGAAAGGAAAUGAAGAGUUUUCCAAAGAAAGAUUUGAUAUAGCUAUUAUCUAUUACACCAGAGCCAUUGAAUAUAGACCUGAAAACCACCUUCUUUAUGGUAACCGAGCUCUUUGUUUUCUUCGUACUGGACAGUUUAGAAAUGCACUUGGUGAUGGAAAGAGAGCCACUAUUCUGAAGAAUACUUGGCCAAAGGGUCAUUAUCGUUAUUGUGAUGCUCUUUCUAUGCUGGGGGAAUAUAACUGGGCUCUGCAAGCAAACAUAAAAGCUCAAAAACUCUGUAAAAAUGACCCUGAGGGAAUCAAGGAUCUAAUUCAGCAACAUGUAAAGUUACAAAAACAAAUAGAAGACCUACAAGGUCGAACAGCAAAUAAGAAUCCAAUUAAAGCCUUUUAUGAAAACAGGGCCUACACACCUAGGAGUUUGUCAGCACCUGUAUUUAGUACUUCACUUAACUUUGUGGAGAAGGAAAGAGAUUUCAGAAAAUUUAAUCACGAAAUGGCCAAUGGUGGUAAUCAGAAUGUAAAGGUGGUGGAUGAGGCAUUGAAGGUAGAUGAUUGUGACUGUCAUCCUGAAUUUUCACCACCAUCAAGUCAGCCUCCAAAACAUAAAGGAAAACAAAAAUCUGGAAACAAUGAAUCAGAGAAGUACAGUUCUAGUUCACAAUUGACUUUACCAGCAAAUUUGAAGAACAUCUUGGAGAAACAGUUUUCUAAAUCUUCCAGAGCUGCCCACCAGGAUUUUGCUAAUAUAAUGACAAUGCUGAGAAGCUUAAUUCAAGAUGGCUAUACAGCCUUAUUGGAGCAGCGUUGCCGCAGUGCCGCACAGGCCUUUACAGAGUUGCUGAAUGGUUUAGAUCCUCAAAAAAUAAAGCAAUUGAACCUGGCCAUGAUUAACUAUGUCUUGGUUGUCUAUGGACUUGCCAUUUCUCUCCUUGGAAUAGGACAGCCUGAAGAACUAUCUGAAGCUGAAAACCAGUUUAAGAGGAUUAUCGAACACUACCACAAUGAGGGACUUGAUUGCUUGGCCUACUGUGGAAUUGGAAAAGUAUAUUUGAAAAAAAACAGAUUUCUAGAAGCUCUCAAUCACUUUGAGAAAGCAAGAACCUUGAUUUAUCGUCUUCCUGGAGUGUUAACUUGGCCCACAAGUAAUGUGAUUAUUGAAGAGUCCCAGCCAGAAAAAAUAAAGAUGCUGUUAGAGAAAUUUGUUGAAGAAUGCAAGUUCCCUCCAGUGCCAGAUGCCAUUUGUUGCUAUCAGAAGUGCUGUGGAUAUUCUAAGAUCCAGAUAUAUAUAACUGAUCCAGACUUUAAGGGUUUUAUACGUAUCAGCUGUUGCCAGUACUGUAAAAUAGAAUUUCACAUGAAUUGCUGGAAGAAGUUAAAAACUACAACCUUUAACGAUAAAAUUGACAAGGAUUUUCUACAAGGAAUAUGUCUUACCCCUGACUGUGAAGGUGUUAUUUCUAAGAUUAUCAUCUUCAGCAGUGGUGGUCAAGUUAAAUGUGAAUUUGAACACAAGGUCAUAAAAGAAAAGGUUCCUCCAAGACCUAUUUUGAAACAGAAAUGUUCUAGUCUAGAGAAACUAAGACUGAAAGAAGACAAAAAAUUGAAGAGAAAGAUCCAAAAAAAAGAAGCAAAAAAAUUAGCACAAGAAAGAAUGGAGGAGGACUUAAGAGAAAGUAAUCCACCCAAAAACGAAGAGCAGAAAGAAACUGUAGACAAUGUUCACUGCUGUCAGUUCCUUGAUGACAGAAUUCUACAGUGUAUAAAGCAGUAUGCUGACAAGAUUAAAUCCGGCAUAUGGAAUACAGCCACGCUUCUCAAAGAAUUGCUUUCUUGGAAAGUUUUGAGCACAGAAGACUAUACAACCUGUUUUUCAAGCAGAAAUUUUCUAAAUGAAGCAGUGGACUAUGUUAUUCAUCAUUUGAUUCAAGAAAAGAGCAGAGUAAAGACAAGAAUAUUUCUGCAUGUUUUGAGUGAGCUUAAAGAAGUGGAGCCCAAAUUAGCCGCCUGGAUCCAAAAACUUAAUAGCUUUGGCUUAGAUGCCACAGGACCUUUCUUUUCUCGGUAUGGAGCAUCUCUUAAACAGCUUGAUUUUAGCAUCAUGACUUUCCUCUGGAAUGAGAAAUAUGGUCACAAACUAGACUCUAUAGAAGGAAAGCAACUUGAUUAUUUCUAUGAGCCAACAUCAUUGAAGGAAGCCCGUUGUUUAAUAUGGCUGCUAGAAGAACACAGAGACAAGUUCCCAGCAUUGCAUAGUGCUUUAGAUGAAUUCUUUGAUAUAAUGGACAGCCGCUGUACUGUGUUAAGGAAACAAGACGGUGGCGAAGCACAGUUUAGUUCUACCAAGGUGAAAAACAAAGGCAAGAAAAAGAAGCUAAAGGAUUCAAAACCUAUGUUAGUUGGGUCUGGAACAACUUCAGUAACUCCAAAUAAUGAGAUCAUCACUUCAAGUGAAGACCAUAGCAAUCAAAAUUCAGAUACUGCAGGCCCAUUUGCAGUGCCUGACCAUCUUCGGCAAGACGUAGAAGAAUUUGAAGCUCUCUAUGACCAACACAGUAAUGAAUAUGUUGUCCGCAAUAAGAAGCUAUGGGACUUUAACCCAAAACAAAAAUAUUCAACUCUAUAUGAUUACUUCUCUCAGUUGUUGGAGGAACAUGGUCCCUUGGACAUGAGUAGCAAGAUGUUCUCUGAAGAAUAUGAGUUUUUCCCAGAAGAAACUCGACCAAUACUAGAAAAAGCAGGAGGUUUAAAAUCUUUUCUCUUGGGAUGUCCUCGUUUUGUUGUGAUUGACAACUGCAUUGCAUUGAAGAAAGCUGCAUUACGGCUCAAGAAAAAAAGAAAGAAGAAAAACAUUAAAACAAAAGUAGAAGACAUUUCAAAAGCAGGAGAGUAUUUACAAGUUAAACUACCACUGAAUUCAGCUGCUAGGGAAUUUAAACCAGAUGUAAAGCCUAAACCAGUGUCAGAUUCAUCUUCAGCACUACCUUCUGAAGAUGUGAAGCCCAAACCUGCGUCUGCUAAUUCUCCCAAGCCAGCUUGUGAAGAUGCGAAGGCUAAACCACUAUCUGGUAAUUCUUCUAGGCAAGUUUCUGAGGAUGGGGAAACCAAAGGGGUUUCUUCUAAUUCUCCCAAACCAGGCUCUGAGGAUGCAAAUUACAAACAAGUCUCCUCUAAUUCCCCUAAACUGGUUCUUGAGGAUGUGAAACCAACUUAUUGGGCUCAAUCCCAUUUGGUCACAGGAUACUGUACGUAUCUUCCUUUCCAGAGAUUUGAUAUCACCCGGACACCACCAGCAUACAUAAAUGUGUUACCAGGUUUGCCCCAGUACACCAGCACAUAUACACCCUUGGCCAGCCUUUCUCCUGAAUAUCAUCUACCAACAUCAGUACCAGUGGUGCCGUCUUUUGUAGCCAAUGACAGAGCAGAUAAAAAUGCUACUGCCUAUUUUGAGGGUCAUCAUUUGAAUGCUGAGAAUGCUGCUGGUCACCAGAUUGCCUCCGAAACACAGAUCCUUGAGGACUCUUUGGUAACAUCUGUAAAGUCACAGUGCAGCACAGGUGAUGCUUCUAUGGUCCUAAGUGAGUCUGACAGAAAUGAUGGGCAUUGUGGAAAUUCUAACAACAAAUGUGAAGUAAUUCCAGAAAGCACCAGUGCAGUAACAAACAUUCCACACGUGCAGAUGGUUGCCGUACAGGUAUCUUGGAACAUAACACACCAAGAAGUCAAUACUGAGCCAUAUAAUCCUUUUGAUGAACAACAAGGGGAAGUUUCACGGAUUGAAAAGGAGUACCAAGCAUUACAAGACCAACUUAAAGAAGCGUGUGAAAAUUACGAGCAGAUAAAACUUAAGGGCUUAGAAGAAACCAGGGACCUGGAAGAAAAGUUGAAAAGGCACUUAGAAGAAAACAAGAUGUCAAAGAUGGAAUUAGAUUGGUUCCUUCAAGAUCUGGAAAGAGAAAUUAAAAAAUGGCAACAGGAAAAAAAAGAAAUCCAAGGAAGACUAAAAUCACUGAAGAAGAAAAUUAAAAAGGUUUCAAAUGCCAGUGCAAUGUAUACCCAGAAAAAUGAUGGAAAGGAUAAGGAACAUGAAUUACAUCUGGAUCAGUCUCUUGAAAUCAGAAACACACUUACAAACAAGAAAAUGAAAAUAGAAGAGUGCAUAAAGAAAGGGAAAGAGGAUUAUGAAGAGAGUCAUCAGAGAGCUGUGGCUGCAGAGGUAUCCGUACUUGAAAACUGGAAGGAGAGUGAAGUGUAUAAGCUACAGAUCAUGGAGUCACAAGCAGAAUCCUAUCUGAAGCAGCUGGAGCUGAUUAGCCAUGAUCCUGCAGCAUAUCCUCACAUGCAGUCUGAUAUAUGUUCAUGGGAAUUGUUUCUUUCUCAUGUUACAAAAGAAAUUGAGAAAGCAAAGUCUCAGUUUGAAGAACAAAUUAAGGCAAUUAAAAAUGGUUCUCGGCUCAGUGAACUUUCUAAAGUGCAGAUUCCCAAGCUUUCAUUUCCUGCCUGUAACAUGGUUCAUCCUGAGUUACUCUCUGAGUCUUCAGGCCACGAUGACCAAGGGCUUAUGACUUCUGCAAGCUAUGUGACUGGAAACCUCGCAGCAUUUCACAGGGAUUCCAGUGUGUUCUCUGCCAGCGAUUCCCCAGGGGAGGCUCCUUCUGCGCUGUUGCCAGGACCACCCCCAAGUCAGCCUGAAGCCACUCAGCUGCCAGGGCCAAAAAGGGAUGGCCAGGCAGCUCUGUCAGAGCAAAGCCCUGUGGCUGAUCGGAAGCAGCCUGUUCCUCCAGGACAUGCUGCACGUUCAAGCCAGUCUCCAAAAAAGCCGUUCAAUAGUAUUAUUGAGCACCUGUCAGUGGUAUUCCCAUGUUACGAUAGCACUGAGCUUGCUGGUUUUAUUAAAAACGUGCGAAGCAAAAACAAGAGCUCACUUUCAGGAUUGAGUAUUGAUGAAAUUGUCCAAAGAGUGACAGAACACAUUCUAGAUGAACAGAAAAAGAAAAAGCCAAACCCAGGAAAGGACAAGAGGACUUAUGAGCCCAGUUCUGCUGCCCCCGUGACCAGGUCCUCCCAGGACCCACCCUCGGCUGUUAUUGCACCAUCACCCAAAACCAAGGGGCAGAAAGCAGAAGAUGUCCCUGUGAGGGCUGCACCGGGUGCAAGUUCCUGUGAAAUAUGCCACAAGAUGUUCAAAUCAAAAAACGUGUGUGUGCUCAAAUGUGGGCACAAGUAUCACAAAGGGUGCUUUAAGCAGUGGCUUAAAGGGCAGAGCGCUUGCCCAGCCUGCCAGAGUCAUGAUCUCCUGUCAGAAGAGUAGCCUGCACCUUCUGGAAGAGGCUGGCCCAGUGAGAAAUGGGAGCUGCCUUCCUGCUCCCCUAGGUAGUCACACUUCACUAAAGGGUCAUCCACCGGCAUGCUGAAUUGGAAGAAUGACAAUUUCCUAUCACUGGUGUAAAAAGCAAACAUUUGAAGACCCUUUUUCAUUGUGUGUCACAAAGCUAAAUUCAUGGAAAUCGUUAAUAUCAUUGAUAUUAAGUAAUUUCCCCAUUUCGAGUGAAUACUUUGAUGAUGCCCAAGCAGUGGCUAAUAAAAUGCCAGCUACCACACUCGUGGGUCGCUGGGGCUGUGCAGGGCUCUUUGAGGUGGGUGGCUUCUUUUGGAAAGUACUGUGAGUGCCUUGAAGCAGUAUUCUAGUGAUAAGAAUUCUUAACAUAUUCCAGCGCCCCACGUUUGUUCCCCUUUUGUGUUUGAAAAACCUGUUCUAGUAGCUCCACAAGAGAGAUGAUACUGACUUUUAAAAUUUUUCACAAGAGUCUGUAUUCCUGAAAAUAUGUCUAUAUUUUUCCUCAAAGAUUCUGCAUUUUAAGAAUGGGCAUAAGCAAACUACAUUUUAAUGAUUUAUAAUGUUAAAAUAUUGGCUGAUUUAGACCAAAAGAUUCAAAUCUCCUCUUUGUGAAAUCCCAUCUGCAUUUGAUUUUUUAUUAUUUUGUGUUCCCCCCAAUGGAUUGUUUUAAGUGUUUACUUUUCGUCUUUUAUAGAUGUAAUCUGAUUUUCAAAAAUCACUAAUAGUUUUUAAUUAGUAUGGACUAAGACUUUUCCCCCUGGAAUCGAGGCUGUGUGUCCAUCAUCCCAGCCCCCAGUUGGAGCCUGCUCUUCAAACUCCGCUGCCCUCCUCAGCAGCUUCUGUCCUCUUUUGUGAGUCAGUCAGCAAGUGCUUGGGAUCCACAUCCAGCCGUGCUGAGCACACAACAGGCUGUGUGUGGAAACAGCCACCAUCAUUAUCCUUCCCUACCCCCGCCCCACAAAAAGAGAAGCUGUGUCUUUAGACAGCCCUAAGGUGUCUGUGUAACAAUCGUUCUGUGUUUGACAUUUGUGUAAAGUAAUGCAUGCAAUCUUGUAUUGUGGCCUAAGAACAAAACUGUAACUGCAUUUGAAACCAUGAAAAAAUUAGAUAUUGUUUUGUGACUUUUAGACAGUGGUAAAUAUAGAACCAUGAAUUCUGGACACAUUCCAUUUCUCUCAAACAUGAAGGAUCAAAAAAAAUGCUUUUUGAUGUGUUGUUUGUUCCACUGGAAACUUAGAGUCAUGAGUUUAUGAGCUGAUUUGGUCACCUUCCUCUGCCUUUGUUCACCGUGAGUUCUGAUGUCUUAGUGACUUAGUUCAUAGAAGCUCACGCCUUAGUUUGAAACAGAUUCUCCAUGGUGGUCCCCAAAACAUUGUCUGCAUAUCCACAAGAACUAAGUGCUAUGGGUGUUAACAUGCAUAAAGAUCAGUUUGCAGCAGCAAGUACAAAAGGAGAAGAGGAACAUCUGUUGAAUGAGUAUGUUUUAUAUACAACUUCAGAUACUUGUGAACAUGCCUUAUAUUUGUCCAACAACUGUCAGAAUAAAGAACAUUCUAAAACGAGCAAAAAA